rnacentral:rRNA from 1 species
UACAGAGGGUGCGAGCGUUAAUCGGAAUUACUGGGCGUAAAGCGUGCGCAGGCGGUUUUGUAAGCCAGAUGUGAAAUCCCCGGGCUCAACCUGGGAAUGGCAUUUGGGACUGCAAGGCUGGAGUGCGGCAGAGGAGACUGGAAUUCCUGGUGUAGCAGUGAAAUGCGUAGAUAUCGGAAGGAACACCGGUGGCGAAAGCGGCGCGCUGGAUCCUACUGACGC